CUUCCAAGAGGAAAGAGUGCGCCAGCUUAUUCUGAAAGAUGAGGUAACAUUUCAUCAGAAUAAAGCUUAUACGAAUAAGGUGGCUUACCAUCAUUCUAAAAGAGCACUGGACAGGGAGAGAAACAAGACAGCCGACCUGCACAGGAAGCUGGAGGAGCUGAACAAAACGCUUGCAGAAUACUCUGGGAAAUCUGAGAGUCCUCAGUCAGCUCAAGCAGGCCCUUGUGAAAAAGAUGUUUCUCCUCACCAUGGUCAUCCCUCAAACUCAGUGAGAUCGGCUGCGGGUCAGGACAGGAACAGGAGGCAGCGGGGUGAGGGACGGCCUGGUCUCAGAGGCCGCAAAGAACCCUGCUCCUCUCAAUCAAAAGGAAUUACCUAAAAGUAUCGGGAUAUAACUCCCCCGCCUGAAGU